AGUCAAGUAAUUAAGUGCAUGUGGUGGAUGCCUUGGCAGUCAGAGGCGAUGAAAGACGUGAUAGCCUGCGAAAAGCUCCGGGGAGGCGGCAAAUAUCCUUUGAUCCGGAGAUGUCUGAAUGGGGGAACCCACCUACUUUAAGGUAGGUAUUGCAACAUGAAUACAUAGUGUUGCAAGGCGAACGAGGGGAAGUGAAACAUCUCAGUACCCUUAGGAAAAGAAAUCAAUUGAGAUUCCCUCAGUAGCGGCGAGCGAACGGGGAUCAGCCCAUUAAGUUAUGUGUGUUUUAGUGGAACGCUCUGGGAAGUGCGAACGUAGAGGGUGAUAUUCCCGUACACGAAAGGGCACACAUAAUGAUGACGAGUAGGGCGAGGCACGUGAAACCUUGUCUGAAUAUGGGGGGACCAUCCUCCAAGGCUAAAUACUCCUGACUGACCGAUAGUGAACCAGUACCGUGAGGGAAAGGCGAAAAGAACCCCUGUGAGGGGAGUGAAAUAGAUCCUGAAACCGCAUGCAUACAAGCAGUGGGAGCACCUUCGUGGUGUGACUGCGUACCUUUUGUAUAAUGGGUCAGCGACUUAUAUUCAGUAGCAAGGUUAACCGUAUAGGGGAGCCGUAGAGAAAUCGAGUCUUAAUAGGGCGUUUAGUUGCUG
rnacentral:rRNA from 1 species